rnacentral:lncRNA from 1 species
GUAUGCUUUCCGUGAUAUCUGUGUUUGUUUAAGCCACCAAAUAUGGCACAAAAAUUCAUUAUCUUUAAGAUUUGUAAUCUCUUUCUCAACAGGGCAAUCAUGAUAUUUGCCUUAAGUAUACUUCCGUAAUUUCUAUAAUUCAGUUAGAUCUUAACUGUUUAAUUUUCUUUUAUUUAGAGCUAUCUAAGAAUCAGAGAAUUUUAGCUUUUAGCUGUAUAUUCAUAGGUAGAUGUUCUUAUUUGUCCGUACCCUCCCGCCCUGAUUUUUUGAAAUGAGGUCUGACUACGUAGCCCAGGCUAGCUUCUGCUCAUGAUCUUGCUGCUUCUGCCUCUUUAGUGCUAUUAUUAAAGAAAUGUACCACCACAUCUGGCUUUCAUUUUCCCAUUUAGGUAUAAUUAAAACCUAGUAAGGCUAGGGAGAUGGAUCUUGAACCUGAGUUUGGUUCCCAGCACCCACACCUGGCAGCUGAGAGUUGCCUAUAAUAUAACCUCAACUCCCAGUGACCUGAGCCCUCUUUUGGCCUAUGUGGGCAGUGAGUGCAUGCUCAUGCACAGACACAAAUGCAUUCAUAUCUCAUUACAAAUAAGGAAUUAAAAUGAAAUCUUAGUAAAACAGUGAAAGUAAUUCUACCAUAAAGCCAAGUGCUGAGAUGUCUCUUGCUUUUAGGAAUAUUAUCUAUGCAACAUGUGUAGUUACCACUACAGAGAGCUAGAGGAACUUGGAAAAAGAAAAGUGAUAAGGGAUACUCCAAAAAAUACUAUAAGGUCUCUGUGACUAAGACAUUUUAAUGGUGGCACAUGAUUUAACAGACCAGUGAAACAGAACAGAAAGUAGAGUCGACUUCAUUGGAAAAGGAAUUUAUUAUAUCAACCAACUAGUAUUAGAUCAAAAAUAAUUUUUUGUUAUUAGUAUAAGUGGGUAUAUGAAAGAGAUAAAAUUACAAUUUUUUUUUAAAAAAUUACAUCAUAAACCAGGAUAAAUUCCAAGUGGACUUGAGACUUAAAUGCUGGUGGAAAUGCUAAAUGAUUCAAUUCUCAUGAAAUGAAAUUUGGCAAUAUAACAGAAUUAUAUGCACUUAUGCCGUUUUCCUAAGAAUCUGCAACAGAGAUAUUCUGUCCAAAAUGUAAACUACAUAUGUAUAAGUUACAACUAACAGUUCUUUGUAAUUUUGAAAAUCCCCAAAUGCCUGUCAGGAACUGAUAUCCUAAAGUGAAGUAUAUCUAUCUAUACAGUAAAAUGUAUUUAACUUUACAAAGGAAAGGUAUUUUUUUAUGUGUAUCAUAAAGUGGUUUUUAGGUCAUAGUAAACUGAGCAAAAUGAGCAAAAUAAUCCAGCAUGUGCCAGGCCCUGGGCUUACAUCUCUAGCAUCAUCCUACCCACCCG